rnacentral:rRNA from 1 species
GACGAACGCUGGCGGCGUGCUUAACACAUGCAAGUCGAGCGGUAAGGCCCUUUCGGGGGUACACGAGCGGCGAACGGGUGAGUAACACGUGGGUGACCUGCCCUCCAGCUCUGGGAUAAGCCUGGGAAACCGGGUCUAAUACUGGAUAUGACUCCAUGACGCAUGUUGUGGGGUGGAAAGCCUUGUGCGGCUGAGGAUGGGCCCGCGGCCUAUCAGCUUGUUGGUGGGGUGAGGCCUACCAAGGCGACGACGGGUAGCCGGCCUGAGAGGGUGAUCGGCCACACUGGGACUGAGACACGG